rnacentral:misc_RNA from 1 species
AGCAGCCGCGGUAAUUCCAGCUCCAAUAGCGUAUAUUAAAGUUGUUGCAGUUAAAAAGCUCGUAGUUGAAUUUCGGGAUCAAUUAAUUGGUCGUGCCUAUGGUACGUACUGAUUUUAUUGGUUUCUCCCUUCUGACGAACCAUGAUGUCAUUAAUUUGGUGUCGUGGAGAAUCAGGACUGUUACUUUGAAAAAAUUAGAGUGUUUAAAGCAGGCUAACGCUUGAAUACAUUAGCAUGGAAUAAUGAAAUAGGACGUUUGAUCCUAUUUUGUUGGUUUCUAGGAUCGACGUAAUGAUUAAUAGGGAUAGUUGGGGGCAUUAGUAUUCAAUUGUCAGAGGUGAAAUUCUUGGAUUUAUUGAAGACUAACUACUGCGAAAGCAUUUGCCAAGGAUGUUUUCAUUAAUCAAGAACGAAAGUUAGGGGAUCGAAGACGAUCAGAUACCGUCGUAGUCUUAACCAUAAACUAUGCCGACUAGGGAUCGGAUGAUGUUAAUUUUUUAAUGACUCAUUCGGCGCCUUA